rnacentral:rRNA from 1 species
UACGUAGGGUGCAAGCGUUGUCCGGAAUUAUUGGGCGUAAAGAGCUCGUAGGCGGUUUGUCGCGUCUGCUGUGAAAACCCGAGGCUCAACCUCGGGCCUGCAGUGGGUACGGGCAGACUAGAGUGCGGUAGGGGAGAUUGGAAUUCCUGGUGUAGCGGUGGAAUGCGCAGAUAUCAGGAGGAACACCAGUGGCGAAAGCGGCUUCCUGGUCCAGCACCGACGUUCAGGCACGAAAGCGUGGGGAGCAAACAGG